AUUGAACGCUGGCGGCAUGCCUUACACAUGCAAGUCGAACGGUAACGGGCCUCCGGGUGCCGACGAGUGGCGAACGGGUGAGUAAUGUAUCGGAACGUACCUUUCAGUGGGGGAUAACGUAGCGAAAGUUACGCUAAUACCGCAUAUUCUGUGAGCAGGAAAGCAGGGGAUCGCAAGACCUUGCGCUGAUUGAGCGGCCGAUAUCAGAUUAGCUAGUUGGUGAGGUAAAGGCUCACCAAGGCGACGAUCUGUAGCGGGUCUGAGAGGAUGAUCCGCCACACUGGAACUGAGACACGGUCCCGACUCCUACGGGAGGCAGCAGUGGGGAAUUUUGGACAAUGGGGGCAACCCUGAUCCAGCCAUGCCGCGUGAGUGAAGAAGGCCUUCGGGUUGUAAAGCUCUUUCGGCCGGGAAGAAAUCGUAUCAGCUAAUACCUGGUGCGGAUGACGGUACCGGCAUAAGAAGCACCGGCUAACUACGUGCCAGCCGCCGCUGUAAUAC
rnacentral:rRNA from 1 species